GUGUGUGUGUAUUUAUGAGUUAUAAAUAAGUGUGCAGAUCAUCUCAUUUGUAGAAGAAGAAGCCCUUUUCAUUGUUUUUGAAUUUUGAGUAGCAAACUUCCACAUUUUGGGAUCAUGGAGUUCAAGAUUCUGCCCUUCAUUGCAUUUCUCUCUAAUGGCUGGAAGACAAGAGCACAUCCGUCGGAGUAGGCGGCGGCGGAGUGAACGUCAACAACAAUAACAACACCCACGUCAGCGUCGGCGGCAAUGGUGGCGGCGUCACCGUCGGAACACACAACAGAAGGGGCAGACCCGUCUACGUCCGGGUCGCACCCGGAGCGAACCCGUUCAUAUACAAUUAUGCUGCCACCGAGUCUCAGCUGCACGACGACCCCAAAUGCUCAGUUAUCCACCCAUAUAUACAUAUAUGUAUAUUAACAAAAACCAAAUGCUCUCUCUCUCUCUAAGUUAUGACUCACAGAGAGAAAUGCAAUGAAGGGCAGAAUCUUGAACUCCAUGAUCCCAAAAUGUGGAAGUUUGCUACUCAAAAUUCAAAAACAAUGAAAAGGGCUUCUUCUUCUACAAAUGAGAUGAUCUGCACACUUAUUUAUAACUCAUAAAUACACACACACUCACAUGUACGUAUAUAUAUAUAUAUACACGUAUUUUUUUGCUAUUUAUGUGUUUUACGUGUCCUAUUGUCAUAAAAUAAUUGAACGAGCUUGAUUUAAUUAUAUCUUUGUGUGAUAAUAUAAUUAAUUUAAUCAGUAUUAAAUACGAAUUGUGAUGAAUUGUACUAUGUUAGAUUACUUUUAUGAAUAUGGUAAAAGUUAACAUCAAAUUCUUGAAUAGUUUGGUACCAGUUACAUUUUAAAAUAUGAUGAAUACUAUGUUAGAUUUCACACAUUACAUAUAUUAAAUAAUUUGUAUACCAACAAGCACAAAUAAAGUAAAUAAUUUGAGUGGUACCAAAUGGUCAUAAAUUUUCAGAAUCUGAAAUGGUGUAUUACAAUUUAUCAAGACUUAACUUCAAUUUGUGUUAGUUUAGUAAUAAAAAUUCAUCUAUUGACUUUAGAUAGUAAUAAUGUCAAUGAAUUGAAAACAAGUCAUAUUCAUACCUAUUCAGUUUGAACAGAUCAAUAUAAUUAGGCUAAUUUCAUUUUUCUCUCAUUUUUGUUAUUGAUAUGCAAAAGCAAUCAUUGUCCAUUUUUUUUGUGAAAUUAAUUUUGACUAGGAUCAUCAAUGCAGAAACCCUAAUUAAACCCUAAAAUCAUUACUAGUAUCUUAUAAGUGAAAAAAAAAUUGUAUCUUGGGAAUCAUUUAUUUAGUUUAGAUAGAUUUGAAAGAUUCCUACUCACAUGUCUUGUUACAUAGCACAUGGCGUGAAGGAUUUUGUAAUUACUUUGUAUCACUCCAUACAUCUUAAUUUACACCUCAAAAUUUCUCCUUACAAAUAAGAGCUCAUCCCUUCACAAUUCUUCACACCUCAAACAACUCUCUCUCGAUCUCUCCCACUUCCUCACACCUCAAACACCUCUCUCUCUCUCUCUGCUAUUGUGAUGGCGACGAUAUGGAUAAUUGCGUGCGUUGCGAUUUUGGUGAUGGCCGGAGGCGCCGAGAGCAGCCAGCCGGAAUGCGACAAGGUCCCCUUCACUCCACUGCCCAACGCUGUUGAAAAAGGAACAGUGCACAUGGAAGCCGACAACCUUGACGCCGUUUUAGAUGCUCAUGUUUCUGUGGAAGCUGCAAAGGAAUUAAGAGAUGCUUGCAGUUGCAUCAAAGUUCACGUGCAUCUCUUUUCAUCACUACCUAUGCCUUCUUUCAUUUUAUUAAUAUAUAUAUAUAUAUAUUUUUUUUUGUACCGGACCAUCUUCACGUCACAUAUGAUAUUAUAAGACAAGAUUAAUGUUUACCAUUUACUGUAUUAUUUUAGUGUUAAAGGUACUGUAGUCCUAACAAUUGAUGAUGCCCUUAUUAAUUUCGUACAACUGGAUUGACCCGUACCCAUAAUAAUACUAUUAUUUAUAUGGAUUGGGUCAGGAUAUGGGCUUAAAUUAGGGUGCGGAUCAAAGUUUAAAUAAAUGUGUUACCCGGUUGUACGGUACACCCGGAUGCACCCAAGACCACUUCUUGUCUGCAACACUCUGUUAUGCCGAAUAGAAUGCAAAAUCUUCUCAAUACUACCUACAUUAAUUUGAUGUAAUAAUUGAGAGAUACUAAUUAACCUUUUUUUUCGAAAAGGAAAUUGGUUAGGCAGCUUCUUUAAUUUGGGGCCUUGCGUCUCCAUCGAUAAUAAUAUCAUUAAUUGCUAUAUAUAUACUACUAAUACGAGAUUUAGUGUUAGAUUUUCAAUAGAUCAUAGACACUUUUCAAUCAUCAACAAGAUUUACCAACCAAUUAAACUUUAUACUAGCAUUUGCAUCAUGUGCAAUGCACGGAAAAAUAUUUUAAAAUUUUAUAUUUAUAUAAAAUUAAUACUAAUUCAAGUAUCAUACUUAUUUAUUUAUUUUGAUGGGAUUUUUUUUUCGAGUUUUUGAUGGGAGCAGUCACUUUUAAUAGGACUUGACGAUGAUACAACACAUGCAUAUAAUGUGUUCUAAUCAAAAGUUAAAACUAGUAAAUUAUAGGUGUAUAAUUUUUAGGAUUACUAAUUCAAUAAAUCUAUGCAGCCACAUUGUGGCCACCCACACACACUAGUAUAAUAAGGAAAAUCUGGAUUUAUUUAAUUUAUUUUUUAAAAUAAAAAUAGGAUUAGUUAUUUUACUAUAUUCUCUACAUUGUACUUAUUAUUUUAUUUUUUUGCAUUUUUUUAAAUUUAUUUGUUAAUAAAAAUAAAAAAGUUACCAAAAAAUUAGAAAAAAAUAAUUACAAUAUAGAGAAUAUGAUAAAAUAUUUAAAUCUUAUUUUUAUUUUUAAAAAUAAGUUAAAUAAAUUAAAUUAAUUUUUAUUUAGAUAAAUUGUGGGUGACCACAAUAUGACUGUUUAGCAUUACUCUUACUAAUUAAUGACGAUCACUAAAACCUAAUUAAGACAAUUAUAAACACAAGAGGACAAAAGAUAUAAUAAUGAUAGAGUAAGAAAAUAUACUAAAAUUUACUAUGAUAUGGGCAGCAGAAUCAAUUACCAAUUGUGUUUGCAGUCAUGCAGAAAGAAUUAAUGGGUAAGAUCUUUAGUUUGGCUUGUCAAAAUCAAUUAGCCAAAUUUAGUCAAAGGAGAAUUAAUAAUGCAUGUGAUAUGGCUGGCAAAAGAAUUACCUUCUACGUUUCACAAAAAAGAAUGUGAUAUUUGCCGUAAAAUACACGAACUUUCAGUAAAUUCUGAUUUUUCCCAUAACUUUUAAAAUUUGAAAAAAAAUACAUCACCUUUCGAUUUUUUCUGAUUUUUCCCACGGAUAUGAAAUACCCCAAAUAAAAGUUCUUCCUUGGAGUCGAUGGUCGAACUUGCUGUAGAUCUCCGGCAACUUGCUCGAGGAGAAGGGCAUCGAGUCCGCAACGUGCCGCGGCAGGAAUGUCUCGACGUUUGUAGGUUUUGAGAAAUGCAUGUUCAUCUUGUUGCCUGCAUACAAGUCUUUCUCUAAGAAGAAGAGGGCCACGUUGGGGUCGUCGUGCAGCUGAGUCUCGGUGGCAGCAUAUUCGUAUAGGAUAAAGGACUUGUCUACUCCGGCGGAUGUGCUCUUGAAUAGGGGAAAUGAUGGAUCUGCAGAAAAAUAGAGAAUAAAUGUCUAUAUACUCUUAAAUUGACCAAUACAGAAUAAAUACAUAGUAAUCUUAAUAUAUGUUCAUCAAGAAAUUCACCAA